rnacentral:rRNA from 1 species
AGAGUGAACGCUGGCGGUAGGCCUAACACAUGCAAGUCGAACGGCAGCACAGUAGGAGCUUGCUCUUACGGGUGGCGAGUGGCGGACGGGUGAGGAAUACAUCGGAAUCUACCUUUUGGUGGGGGAUAACGUAGGGAACCUUACGCUAAUACCGCAUACGCCCUUCGGGGGAAAGCCGGGGACCAGCAAUGGCCUGGCGCUGAUAGAUGAGCCGAUGUCGGAUUAGCUAGUUGGUGAGGUAAUGGCUCACCAAGGCGACGAUCCGUAGCUGGUCUGAGAGGAUGAUCAGCCACACUGGAACUGAGACACGGU